rnacentral:rRNA from 1 species
GACGAACGCUGGCGGCGUGCCUAACACAUGCAAGUCGAGCGGAGAUAAUUAAAAGCUUACUUUUAAUUAUCUUAGCGGCGGACGGGUGAGUAACGCGUGGGCAACCUGCCUUUCACAGGGGGAUAACACAGGGAAACUUGUGCUAAUACCGCAUAACACAUCGAGGUAGCAUUAGCUUUCUGUCAAAGGAGCAAUCCGGUGAUAGAUGGGCCAGCGUCCAAUUAGCUAGUUGGUGAUGUAACGGACCACCAAGGCGCCGAUGGGUAGCCGAACUGCGACGUUGAUCGGCCACAUGUGGACUGGUACACGGCCCAGACUCCUACGGGAGGCAGCAGUGGGGAAUAUUGCACAAUGGGGGAAACCCUGAUGCAGCAACGCCGCGUGAAGGAUGAAUGUUUUCGGAUUGUAAACUUCUUUAGUCAGGGACGAAUAAAUGACGGUACCUGAAGAAUAAGCCACGGCUAACUACGUGCCAGCAGCCGCCGUAA